rnacentral:rRNA from 1 species
CCGUCGAAAGACGGAUUAAUACCGCAUAACACUGUUUGAGGGCAUCUGAAGAUAGUGAAAGCUGAGGCGAUAAAAGAUGGGCAUGCGUGACAUUAGCUAGUUGGUUGAGGUAACGGCUCACCAAGGCGACGAUGUUUAGGGGUUNUGAGAGGAUGAUCCCCCACACUGGUACUGAGAUACGGACCAGANUCCUACGGGAGGCAGCAGUAGGGAAUAUUGGGCAAUGGAGGCAAUUUUGACCCAGCCAUGCCGCCCCCAGGANGAAGGCCUUUUGGGUUGUAANCNGCUUCCAUUUAGGAAGNAAAAACCCCUGCGGGGGAACUUGACGGUACUAGAGGAAUAAGCACCGGCUAAUUCCGUGCCAGCAGCCGCGGUAAUACGGAGGGUGCAAGCGUUNUCCGGAUUUAUUGGGUUUAAAGGGUGCGUAGGCGNCCUUAUAAGUCAGUGGUGAAAGCCCACAGNUCAACUGUGGAACUGCCAUUGAUACUGUAAGGCUUGAGUACAGACGAGGUAGGCGGAAUUGAUGGUGUAGCGGUGAAAUGCAUAGAUACCAUCAAGAACACCGAUUGCGUAGGCAGCUUACUAGGCUGUAACUGACGCUGAGGCACGAAAGCGUGGGGAGCGAACAGGAUUAGAUACCCUGGUAGUCCAUGCUGUAAACGAUGAUUACUCGAUGUUGGCGAUAAACAGUCAGNGUACUUAGCGAAAGCGUUAAGUAAUCCACNUGGGGACUACGCCC